rnacentral:lncRNA from 1 species
AUGGUACUAGAAAUGCAGGGAAAACAUAAAGAAGCUUUAGAAAUUCUUAGCGGUCCUCUAGGUAAGAAACUGGACCCGCACCUGGUGAUCACGACUAAAAGAAUUGAUUUGCUGAUGAAACUAGGACUGUGGCAGGAACUCAACCUUUAUCUUAAAGAACAAUUACUUGAUGAGAUAGAUGCUUGGUCAAAUUACUGUCAUUAUUUUACAUCAGUUUUCCAUUUGUGCUGCGGUCCUGUCCUUGAAACUCAAAUCAAAGAUGGAAAAGAUAAGGAACAAAUCAAAGAAAAUGGCAUGUGUCUUCCAAAUAAGAAAAUUAAUAGUCAGCUAGUUGACUCAAAAUUUGAAACUUUGAAUGAAAACCCUGAUAAUAAGUGUCAAACCUUAAUCAAUGGUGUGAAAAAGUUGAUGAUAACACAAGAAAGUAUAAAAAAUGAGGAACCUUGCGGAGAGGAUUCCUGCCAUUUAAAUGGAGAUUUUGGGAAUGAUUCUUGGCAGAAAAACGAUGAACAAGAGAUUUCUAAUCAAAGGCAUGAAACUGACAGUAAAAUGUCUCAGUUGAUGACACUUUGGGUUCUUGUGUCAGUUUUAUCAAGAUUAAGAGCUGAAAAUGAGAGACUAAAACAUCCCCUCAGAGGUCCCCUCCUUGCACCUUUAGAGCUAUACCGCAGAUUGACUGAAAGAAAAAUUGAUCCAGUCCCCCUUGUUGGCGAUUUAGUGUCUUUACUCAUGACUUAUUUUAAAACAUUCGGCAGUAAGCAAUGUUGCCUCAGUGAUAUUCAAAAUUAUAUAAUUCUCCUAACAAAAAUCAAACAAGUGAUCUACUGCUACAGAUUCAAGAAUUGGUUGGGCUUCAGCAUAAUGAACUACCCUCUGAGGUUUGAACUUUUUCCUAUUUUUUUUUCUCUGGUUAAAUCUAGUUUUCUGGUGUUCUACAAAACUUCAAGUUUACUCAGACCAUGUUUGCUCAACGUAGAGGAAAAGAGAAUUUGAAUGACUGUGACAGGAAUCAGCCUAGUAUAUCAGAGUGUGCCUAUUUUUUCUGUUGUUUCAUUUUUCAAACAGGAAAUUAAACAAAGUUAAAAGAAUUGCCUUCUCCAAUAGGGUGGAUCGAAUUUUUCGACUUUUGAGAGGGGAAACGCGUAUCUUUGAAAAAAGUUGUCAAAUGGGCCCCAUAUGAAGUACCCAAAAUUUCGCCGCAUAAAAUUGACCCCCUAGUACCGUAUGAAGGCCUAAAAGGCCUAAAUUUUUAAUAUAUUAUAUUAAAGGUUCAAACACAUGUUUCCUUAUAG